GAGUUUGAUCAUGGCUCAGAACGUACGCUGGCGGCACGCCUAACACAUGCAAGUCGAACGAAGUAGCAAUACUUAGUGGCAGACGGGUGAGUAACAUGUAGGUAUCUGCCCUUUGGCCUGGAAUAACACGAGGAAACUUGUGCUAAUACCGGAUAAGUCUUUACGGAGAAAGCUUUAUGCACCAUUGGAUGAGCCUGCACUUGAUUAGUUUGUUGGUGGGGUAAUGGCCUACCAAGACUGUGAUCAAUAGCUGAUUUGAGAGGAUGAUCAGCCACAUUGGGACUGAGACACGGCCCAAACUCCUACGGGAGGCAGCAGUGGGGAAUCUUGCACAAUGGAGGAAACUCUGAUGCAGCGAUGCCGCGUGAGUGAAGAAGGCCCUUGGGUUGUAAAGCUCUUUCGUCGGGGAAGAAAAUGACUGUACCCGAAUAGGAAGGUCCGGCUAACUUCGUGCCAGCAGCCGCGGUAAUACGAAGGGACCUAGCGUAGUUCGGAAUUACUGGGCUUAAAGAGUUCGUAGGUGGUUGAAAAAGUUAGUGGUGAAAUCCCAGAGCUUAACUCUGGAACUGCCAUUAAAACUUUUCAGCUAGAGUAUGAUAGAGGAAAGCAGAAUUUCUAGUGUAGAGGUGAAAUUCGUAGAUAUUAGAAAGAAUACCAAUUGCGAAGGCAGCUUUCUGGAUCAUUACUGACACUGAGGAACGAAAGCAUGGGUAGCGAAGAGGAUUAGAUACCCUCGUAGUCCAUGCCGUAAACGAUGUGUGUUAGACGUUGGAAAUUUAUUUUCAGUGUCGCAGGGAAACCGAUAAACACACCGCCUGGGGAGUACGACCGCAAGGUUAAAACUCAAAUGAAUUGACGGGGACCCGCACAAGUAGUGGAGCAUGUGGUUUAAUUCGAAGAUACGCGCAGAACCUUACCAACACUUGACAUGUUCGUCGCAACUCUAAGAGAUUAGAGUUUUCGGUUCGGCCGGACGAAACACAGGUGCUGCAUGGCUGUCGUCAGCUCGUGUCGUGAGAUGUUGGGUUAAGUCCCGCAACGAGCGCAACCCUCACUUUUAGUUGCCAUCAUUAAGUUGGGCACUCUGAAAGAACUGCCAGUGAUAAGCUGGAGGAAGGUGGGGAUGACGUCAAGUCCUCAUGGCCCUUACGUGUUGGGCUACACACGUGCUACAAUGGUAUCUACAACAGGAAGCAAGACUGCGAAGUUAAGCAAAUCCCUAAAAGAUACCUCAGUUCGGAUUGCACUCUGCAACUCGAGUGCAUGAAGCUGGAAUUACUAGUAAUCGUGGAUCAGCGUGCCACGGUGAACGCGUUCCCGGGUCUUGUACACACCGCCCGUCACACCAUGGGAGUUGGUUCUACCUUAAGGCAAGGUUUUAAACCCUUGACCACGGUAUAGUCAGCGACUGGGGUGAAGUCGUAACAAGGUAACC
rnacentral:rRNA from 1 species